AGUGAACGCUGGCGGUAGGCCUAACACAUGCAAGUCGAACGGCAGCACAGUAAGAGCUUGCUCUUACGGGUGGCGAGUGGCGGAAGGGUGAGGAAUACUUCGGAAUCUACUUUUUCGUGGGGGAUAACGUAGGGAAACUUACGCUAAUACCGCAUACGACCUACGGGUGAAAGCAGGGGAUCUUCGGACCUUGCGCUAUGGAAUGAGCCGAUGUCGGAUUAGCUAGUUGGCGGGGUAAAGGCCCACCAAGGCGACGAUCCGUAGCUGGUCUGAGAGGAUGAUCAGCCACACUGGAACUGAGACACGGUCCAGACUCCUACGGGAGGCAGCAGUGGGGAAUAUUGGACAAUGGGCGCAAGCCUGAUCCAGCCAUACCGCGUGGGUGAAGAAGGCCUUCGGGUUGUAAAGCCCUUUUGUUGGGAAAGAAAAGCAGCAGGUUAAUACCCCGCUGUUCUGACGGUACCCAAAGAAUAAGCACCGGCUAACUUCGUG
rnacentral:rRNA from 1 species